rnacentral:rRNA from 1 species
AACGCGAAGAACCUUACCCAGACUUGACAUGCAGUAGACGUAUGCAGAAAUGUAUAUUUCCUUCGGGACUGCUGCACAGGUGCUGCAUGGCUGUCGUCAGCUCGUGCCGUGAGGUGUUGGGUUAAGUCCCGCAACGAGCGCAACCCUUAUCAUUAGUUGCCAACAUGUAAAGAUGGGAACUCUAAUGAGACUGCCUGGGUUAACCAGGAGGAAGGUGAGGAUGACGUCAAGUCCGCAUGGCCCUUAUGUCUGGGGCUACACACGUGCUACAAUGGACGGUACAGAAGGCAGCGAAGCCGUGAGGUGAAGCAAAUCCCAAAAACCGUCCUCAGUUCAGAUUGUAGUCUGCAACUCGACUACAUGAAGACGGAAUUGCUAGUAAUGGCGAGUCAGCAACAUCGCCGUGAAUACGUUCCCGGGCCUUGUACACACCGAGUAUA